UGGGGAAUCUUGCGCAAUGGACGAAAGUCUGACGCAGCCACGCCGCGUGAGUGAAGAAGGCCUUCGGGUCGUAAAGCUCUGUCAUCCGGGACGAAAAUCUUAACAGUUAAGAGCUGGUAAGACUGACGGUACCGGAGAAGGAAGCACCGGCUAACUCUGUGCCAGCAGCCGCGGUAAUACAGAGGGUGCAAGCGUUGCUCGGAAUUAUUGGGCGUAAAGGGUAGGUAGGUGGUCUCAUUUGUCUGGGGUGAAAGCCUUGAGCUCAACUCAAGAAGUGCCCCAGAAACGGUGAGACUAGAGUACUGGAGAGGGUCGUGGAAUUCCCGGUGUAGCGGUGAAAUGCGUAGAGAUCGGGAGGAACACCAGCGGCGAAGGCGGCGACCUGGACAGUGACUGACACUCAACUACGAAAGCGUGGGGAGCAAACAGG
rnacentral:rRNA from 1 species